rnacentral:rRNA from 1 species
UGUGCUAAGGUAGCAUAAUAAUUAGUUAUUCAAUUGGUAACUAGAAUGAAUGGAUUGACAAAAAAAUAACUUUAUUAAUAAUUUAUUAAAUUAAUAUUAAAGUAAAAAAGCUCUUUUAAUUUAAAAAGACGACAAGACCCUAAAACCUUUUAUAAUAAUAUUUACUGGGGCGGUAAUUUACUAUUGACAUAAAUUUAAAUAACAUAAUGAAUGACUUUCCCUAACUCUAUAAAAUCCAAGCAGGUACUUUAGGGAUAACAGCAUAAUUUCUAUUUAGAGUUCUUAUCGACAUAGAAGAUUAUGACCUCGAUGUUGAAUUAAUAUAACUUCUAUAAGCAG